rnacentral:rRNA from 1 species
GACGAACGCUGGCGGCGUGCCUAAUACAUGCAAGUAGAACGCUGAAGGGAGAGCUUGCUCUUCUGGAUGAGUUGCGAACGGGUGAGUAACGCGUAGGUAACCUGCCUGGUAGCGGGGGAUAACUAUUGGAAACGAUAGCUAAUACCGCAUAACAUUGACUAUUGCAUGAUAGUCAAUUGAAAGGUGCAAAUGCACCACUACCAGAUGGACCUGCGUUGUAUUAGCUAGUUGGUGGGGUAACGGCUCACCAAGGCGACGAUACAUAGCCGACCUGAGAGGGUGAUCGGCCACACUGGGACUGAGACACGGCCCAGACUCCUACGGGAGGCAGCAGUAGGGAAUCUUCGGCAAUGGACGGAAGUCUGACCGAGCAACGCCGCGUGAGUGAAGAAGGUUUUCGGAUCGUAAAGCUCUGUUGUAAGAGAAGAACGAGUGUGAGAGUGGAAAGUUCACA